rnacentral:rRNA from 1 species
GCAAACGGCUCAGUAACACGUGGCCAACCUACCCUUGGGACGGAGACAACCCCGGGAAACUGGGGCUAAUCCCCGAUAGGUGAGGAAUCCUGGAAUGGACCCUCGCCCAAAAGACGUUGAGUCCAUGCUAUUCAGCGUCGCCCAAGGAUGGAGCCGCGACCGAUCAGGUAGUUGGUGAGGCAACGGCUCACCAAGCCUAUAACCGGUACGGGCCGUGAGAGCGGGAGCCCGGAGAUGGGCACUGAGACAGGGGCCCAGGCCCUACGGGGCGCAGCAGUUGCGAAAACUCCGCAAUGCGCGAAAGCGUGACGGGGCUACCCCGAGUGCCGCCCGUUGAGGGCGGCUUUUCCACGGUGUAAGGAGCCGUGGGAAUAAGGAGAGGGCAAGACUGGUGUCAGCCGCCGCGGUAAUACCAGCUCUCCGAGUGGUGGGGACGAUUAUUGGGCUUAAAGCGUUCGUAGCCGGCUUAACAAGUCUUCCGUUAAAUCCAACGAUCUAAUCGUUGGGCUGCGGGAGAUACUGUUGGGCUAGGAGGCGGGAGAAGCCGACGGUAUUCUCGGGGUAGGGGUGAAAUCCUGUAAUCCCGGGAGGACCACCAGUGGCGAAGGCGGUCGGCUAGAAACGCGCUCGACGGUGAGGGACGAAAGCUGGGGGAGCGAACCGGAUUAGAUACCCGGGUAGUCCUGGCCGUAAACGAUGCAUACUAGGUGAUGGCACGGCCAUGAG